CCUACGGGAGGCAGCAGUGAGGAAUAUUGGUCAAUGGGCGCGAGCCUGAACCAGCCAAGUCGCGUGAAGGAUGACUGCCCUACGGGUUGUAAACUUCUUUUAUAAGGGAAUAAAGUGAGGCACGUGUGCCUUUUUGUAUGUACCUUAUGAAUAAGGAUCGGCUAACUCCGUGCCAGCAGCCGCGGUAAUACGGAGGAUCCGAGCGUUAUCCGGAUUUAUUGGGUUUAAAGGGAGCGUAGACGGGUUGUUAAGUCAGUUGUGAAAGUUUGCGGCUCAACCGUAAAAUUGCAAUUGAUACUGGCUGUCUUGAGUACAGUAGAGGUAGGCGGAAUGCGUGGUGGAGCGGUGAAAUGCAUAGAUAUCACGAAGAACUCCGAUUGCGAAGGCAGCUUACUAAACUGCCACUGACAUUGAUGCACGAAAGUGUGGGUAUCAAACAGGAUUAGAUACCCCUGUAGUC
rnacentral:rRNA from 1 species